UGGGGAAUAUUGCACAAUGGGGGAAACCCUGAUGCAGCCAUGCCGCGUGUGUGAAGAAGGCCUUCGGGUUGUAAAGCACUUUCAGUAGGGAGGAAAGGUAGCAGCUUAAUACGCUGUUGCUGUGACGUUACCUACAGAAGAAGGACCGGUUAACUCCGUGCCAGCAGCCGCGGUAAUACGGAGGGUCCGAGCGUUAAUCGGAAUUACUGGGCGUAAAGCGUGCGCAGGCGGUUUGUUAAGCGAGAUGUGAAAGCCCCGGGCUCAACCUGGGAAUUGCAUUUCGAACUGGCGAACUAGAGUCUUGUAGAGGGGGGUAGAAUUCCAGGUGUAGCGGUGAAAUGCGUAGAGAUCUGGAGGAAUACCGGUGGCGAAGGCGGCCCCCUGGACAAAGACUGACGCUCAGGCACGAAAGCGUGGGGAGCAAACAGGAUUAGAUACCCUGGUAGUCCACGCCGUAAACGAUGUCUACUCGGAGUUUGGUGUCUUGAACACUGGGCUCUCAAGCUAACGCAUUAAGUAGACCGCCUGGGGAGUACGGCCGCAAGGUUA
rnacentral:rRNA from 1 species